rnacentral:rRNA from 1 species
UACGAAGGGGGCUAGCGUUGUUCGGAUUUACUGGGCGUAAAGCGCACGUAGGCGGAUCGAUCAGUCAGGGGUGAAAUCCCAGAGCUCAACUCUGGAACUGCCUUUGAUACUGUCGAUCUGGAGUAUGGAAGAGGUGAGUGGAAUUCCGAGUGUAGAGGUGAAAUUCGUAGAUAUUCGGAGGAACACCAGUGGCGAAGGCGGCUCACUGGUCCAUUACUGACGCUGGAGGUGCGAAAGCGUGGGGAGCAAACAGG